UAGGGAAUCUUCCGCAAUGGACGAAAGUCUGACGGAGCAACGCCGCGUGAGCGAUGAAGGUCUUCGGAUCGUAAAGCUCUGUUGUUAGGGAAGAACAAGUAUCGUUCGAAUAGGGCGGUACCUUGACGGUACCUAACGAGAAAGCCACGGCUAACUACGUGCCAGCAGCCGCGGUAAUACGUAGGUGGCAAGCGUUGUCCGGAAUUAUUGGGCGUAAAGCGCGCGCAGGCGGUCCUUUAAGUCUGAUGUGAAAUCUUGCGGCUCAACCGCAAGCGGUCAUUGGAAACUGGGGGACUUGAGUACAGAAGAGGAAAGCGGAAUUCCACGUGUAGCGGUGAAAUGCGUAGAGAUGUGGAGGAACACCAGUGGCGAAGGCGGCUUUCUGGUCUGUAACUGACGCUGAGGCGCGAAAGCGUGGGGAGCAAACAGG
rnacentral:rRNA from 1 species